UGUUGGUUCUCCCGCAACGCUACUCUGUUCACCAGGUCAGGUCCGGAAGGAAGCAGCCAAGGCAGACGACGUGGGUGCCGGGAUGUAG
rnacentral:SRP_RNA from 1 species